AGGUUAUGAUGUGGGCAUGUUAGAAGUAGCUCAUUGAAGUGCUCCCACACCUCAAAGAAUAGGUCUCCAUCUUUUUGUUAGAAGGUUUGAAUCUCCCUCUUCAAUUG